UACGUAGGGUGCGAGCGUUGUCCGGAAUUAUUGGGCGUAAAGAGCUCGUAGGCGGCCUGUCGCGUCGGUUGUGAAAGCCCGGGGCUUAACCCCGGGUCUGCAGUCGAUACGGGCAGGCUAGAGUUCGGUAGGGGAGAUCGGAAUUCCUGGUGUAGCGGUGAAAUGCGCAGAUAUCAGGAGGAACACCAAUGGCGAAGGCAGCUCGCUGGGACGGUACUGACGCUGAGGCGCGAAAGCGUGGGGAGCAAACGGG
rnacentral:rRNA from 1 species